rnacentral:lncRNA from 1 species
AUUAAUAUUACAAUUAAAAUACCUAUCACCAUGGUUGGUAAUGUCAACCGUUGUUAAGGCAUUAUAUUUCAUCACGGUUUUUGAAUGUGACCGUGGUGAAAUUGUUUACUCAUAUACAAGUGAAUUAACUCCCGCUUCUUGACAAUAUUGUCGUAUCUCUCACAUCAAAACCCUAGAACAUAUUUUCUCUCUUCUUCUUCGUCAUUAGCUUUCAUAUUCUACAUUAUAUCCACACUCUUGUUCUUCAUACAUAAAAGUAUUCUUCUUCUUUAUUCUCUCGUUUUCGUGUAUGUUGUUGUUAUAUUUCACAUGAUUUUCUUCUUGUUCGAGAGUUUUUGGUUUUUGUUGUUGUUGUAUGUUUCACAUGAUUUUCACACGACUUUCAUAUUAUUUACUUCGGUUUCACAUGUUUUGUUGUUGGCUUGGAUAUGCUUUACUCAUAUUUUAGAAUCUUCUCUCAACAUGAAUCAAGAUCAAUCUAGUGGGAGAAAAUUGUCCAUGAGAUUGAGGCUUCAAAGGAGAUCACAUCACUGUUGUUGAAUCGUCUGGUGGAACAGGCUAUAAGAAGAUUCUUAUCAAGAAUCUGAAUCCUAAAAAGAUAAGGAAGGUAGAAGCUAUUGUGAAAGACCUAAUGAAUUUGGAUACAAAUGAUUAUAAAUUAGAUAAAGACCUUGAGAACUUCAUGAAUUCAACUAGGCAUGAAGAUUGAAGAUUGCCCUUCAUGUAUCCAAUAGAUUCUAGGAACUAGGCAUGAAGAUUGAAGGUUGCCAUUCAUGUAUCCAAUAGAUUCUAUAAACGAUUAGUUAUCAACUUCUCCCAACCUAUGUUAAUUAAUUGAUGUUUUGUUGAUAAAUAUUAUUAGUGAAUUUAAUAUAUCAUAUGUGAUUGCUUGUUUCACUAACCCCUCAUUGAACUUGCAUUCAUUUAAAUAGAUUUUUGAGACAAUAAUUAAAAAAAUUAAAUUAUUCUUGAAAAUCAACUUAGACGAUCCAAUGUUUAUCGAAUUACAUGCAUCUUGUAAUCAUGAUUUCCUCUUUAGACCAUAGAAUUUGAUUCAAGACCACAAGUUCUUCAAAAUUAAUGAUGAUAAAUGGAUGUCAGUCCGAGUCUUUCACACAAAAUUCGAUGUUUUCAAAUAAACUAGAAAAAAAGAAGAGGAAAUCAAAUUUUAUGUGAAAGACUUAGAAUACAUCCAUUCAUCAUCAUUACUUUGAAGAAUUCGGGAUUGAAUAAAAUUAUAUGGGUUAAUGAGGAAAUCAUUAAUUACAAGAUGCAUGCAAUUUGAAAAACAUUUGACCGUUUAAGUUGUUUUUCAAGAAUAAUUUAAU